rnacentral:rRNA from 1 species
CCUACGGGGUGCACCAGUGGGGAAUAUUGCACAAUGGCGCAAGCCUGAUGCAGCCAUGCCGCGUGUAUGAAGAAGGCCUUCGGGUUGUAAAGUACUUUCAGUCGGGAGGAAGGUGGUGAGCUUAAUACGCUCAUCAAUCGACGUUACCGACAGAAGAAGCACCGGCUGACUCCGUGCCAGCAGCCGCGGUAAUACGGAGGGUGCAAGCGUUAAUCGGAAUUACUGGGCGUAAAGCGCACGCAGGCGGUUGAUUGAGUCAGAUGUGAAAUCCCCGGGCUUAACCCGGGAAUUGCCUCUGAUACUGGUCAGCUAGAGUCUUGUAGAGGGGGGUAGAAUUCCAUGUGUAGCGGUGAAAUGCGUAGAGAUGUGGAGGAAUACCGGUGGCGAAGGCGGCCCCCUGGACAAAGACUGACGCUCAGGUGCGAAAGCGUGGGGAGCAAACAGGAUUAGAUACCCCCGUAGUC